rnacentral:rRNA from 1 species
GCCAGACUCCUACGGGAGGCAGCAGUGGGGAAUAUUGCACAAUGGGGGAAACCCUGAUGCAGCAACGCCGCGUGGGUGAAGGAGCGUUUCGGCGCGUAAAGCCCUGUCAGCGGGGAAGAAGAAAGACGGUACCCGACCAAGAAGCCCCGGCUAACUACGUGCCAGCAGCCGCGGUAAUACGUAGGGGGCGAGCGUUAUCCGGAAUUACUGGGUGUAAAGGGAGCGUAGACGGCGAUACAAGUCUGAAGUGAAAGCCCGGGGCUCAACCCCGGGACUGCUUUGGAAACUGUGUUGCUGGAGUGCUGGAGAGGCAAGCGGAAUUUCUAGUGUAGCGGUGAAAUGCGUAGAUAUUAGGAAGAACACCAGUGGCGAAGGCGGCUUACUGGACUGUAACUGACGUUGAGGCUCGAAAGCGUGGGGAGCAAACAGGAUUAGAUACCCGCGUAUA